rnacentral:rRNA from 1 species
AUUGAACGCUGGCGGCAUGCCUUACACAUGCAAGUCGAACGGCAGCGGACCUUCGGGUGCCGGCGAGUGGCGAACGGGUGAGUAAUGCAUCGGAACGUGCCAUUGAGUGGGGGAUAACGUAGCGAAAGUUGCGCUAAUACCGCAUAUUCUGUGAGCAGGAAAGCAGGGGACCGCAAGGCCUUGCGCUCUUUGAGCGGCCGAUGUCAGAUUAGCUAGUUGGUGAGGUAACGGCUUACCAAGGCGACGAUCUGUAGCGGGUCUGAGAGGAUGAUCCGCCACACUGGAACUGAGACACGGUUCAGACUCCUACGGGAGGCAGCAGUGGGGAAUUUUGGACAAUGGGGGCAACCCUGAUCCAGCCAUGCCGCGUGAGUGAAGAAGG